rnacentral:rRNA from 1 species
GAUGAACGCUGGCGGCGUGCUUAACACAUGCAAGUUGAACGAAGUGGCGGAUGGGCGAGUAACACGUGAGGAACCUGCCUUUCACAGGGGAAUAACACUGGGAAACCAGUGCUAAUACCGCAUAGUGAAAGAUGGCCUCGCGCCUGAUUAGCUAGUAGGUGGGGUAAAGGCUCACCUAGGCGACGAUCUCUAGCGGGUUUGAGGGAUGAUCAGCCACAUUGGGACUGUGACACGGCCCAGACUCCGACGGGAGGCAGCAGUGGGGAAUAUUGCACAAUGGCGCAAGCCUGAUGCCGCCAUGACGCGUGGGGGAUGAAGGCUUUCGGGUUGUAAACCUCUUUCGCUAUCGAAGGGUAGGUGGAGAAGAAGCGCCGGCUAACUACGUGCCAGCAGCCGCGGUAAUUC